CUCUUGGCCCGGUGACGGAACCGUGUCAGUCUUCCGCGUCACUCACCCUGCGCGGUUGCUCGGCGCUGCUACAGAUCCCCGGCUGUCGGAGCCGCGUAGCUCCCUGACACAGAGCGACCGCCACGAAGCUCGCCGAGCGGCGUGAUCGCCCGAGCUGUCUCCUUCACGGCGACGUCAGUAACCGGUUCGAGUGGGACUGGCCGGUCGUACCGGAGGAUCUCGGCCACCGUUAUCAGUCCAACUAGCUGCUGUUUUGCCUUCACGCCUUCUGCCUCCCUCGGUUUGCGUACAUGUGUUUUUUUUGGACUGCGUUGCCUCAAUUGUUUUGGGCCGGACCGCCUGCACCGUUGUGCUCGGACGGCUUUACCCGGAUGAACAAUUUUAGCGUGACGUUCGAUCUUCUCCUUGACUUAUUGGGUCGACGGAGUUAUCAUCUUGUUUUCUUUAUUGUUUAGUUUGUUCUGUAUUUGUUUCUUUAUAACCGGGUGAGUGACCCCGGUUGUAUGUACGCGUGUUUAACGUUUUGUUGGUGGUGUCCCGGUGGUGUCCCGGUGGUGGUGUCCCGGUGGUGGUGUCCGGGUGGUGGUGUCCCGGUGGUGUGGUGUCCCGGUGGUGGUGUCCCUUCGCUCGUUUGCUGUGGUCUUUAGUUUUCAUUUGCUUUGCUGUGCUCACUAUUUUGUUUUUGUGUUCACGGGUGUCUUCUCUUGAAACCUCCCCCGCUGCCCUCGUGUCCCUCCACAACCACCGGUAAGCCUCCGCGUUCAUUAUUUUGUUCAUUAUUUUGACCAUUAUUACCCCCAUUAAUUCCCCUUUUGUUGUGGAGAUUGUGAGCGUGUUUUAAAUUGUUUUAUGGAUCCUGGUAUUUUAUUGUAAUAAACAAUGUACAUUGA